GGGGAGCGCCCGCGUCACGUGAGGGGGGAAGUUCUGUCGGGGCAUGAAUGGAGCCGAGGGUUGGGAACGGCCGCCGCCAUAGCAACGGGAGCCGGUGGGAGGGGCCGGGGACGGCCACGUGAGGGCGCGGCGUCGCCAUGGGAACGGGACAUCGGACCACGCGCCCGGUCCUGGAGCGGUCGUGGUCUUGCGGUGGCUCGAGCCAUGCGGGCUGCCCGGCCUCGCGCUCUUGCUCGCUGCACGCGGCUCCUCACAGCUGCUCCGCCGCCUCUCUGAGCGGGGCGUAACACCGCCGGGAUGCGGAGUAGGGGUGGUGCCGCCCACCGCCGCGCUCGGAGGAGCGGAGCGGAGCAGCGCGGGGCUGCUGGGGCUGCUCGAGCUGAGCGCGUGCUUCCCGGGAGCCCGCCAAAAAUAACGGUCUGCGUCCCCUGUGGGACCCCUAAGGAGGGUCCUUCAGUCACGCCGCUCUGCGGUCACAAAAGACACCGCUGUGGCUCAAGAAGUCAGACACCUUGGACAAAACGCAUCCUGUGCGUGUACCCUGAGGUAUCUCUGGGCACAAAUAGCCUUUGUGUUACAGAAGAGAUGUUCUGGAGCAGAAACGACUUUUUUGGUAAGUGACUUUUGCUAAGUUCACUGCUAUGACACUGAGA
rnacentral:lncRNA from 1 species